AACCAACAGGGAUUGCCCCAGUAACGGCGAGUGAAGCGGCAACAGCUCAAAUUUGAAAUCUGGCUCUCGGGCCCGAGUUGUAAUUUGUAGAGGAUGCUUUUGGUGAGGUGCCUUCCGAGUUCCCUGGAACGGGACGCCAUAGAGGGUGAGAGCCCCGUCUGGUUGGACACCGACCCUCUGUAAAGCUCCUUCGACGAGUCGAGUAGUUUGGGAAUGCUGCUCUAAAUGGGAGGUAUAUGUCUUCUAAAGCUAAAUACCGGCCAGAGACCGAUAGCGCACAAGUAGAGUGAUCGAAAGAUGAAAAGAACUUUGAAAAGAGAGUUAAAAAGUACGUGAAAUUGUUGAAAGGGAAGCGCUUGUGACCAGACUUGGGCUUGGUUGAUCAUCCGGGGUUCUCCCCGGUGCACUCUUCCGGCCCAGGCCAGCAUCAGUUCGCCCUGGGGGACAAAGGCUUCGGGAAUGUGGCUCUCUCCGGGGAGUGUUAUAGCCCGCUGCGUAAUACCCUGUGGCGGACUGAGGUUCGCGCAUUCGCAAGGAUGCUGGCGUAAUGGUCAUCAGUGACCCGUCUUGAAACACGGACCAAGGAGUCGUCUUCGUAUGCGAGUGUUCGGGUGUCAAACCCCUACGCGAAAUGAAAGUGAACGCAGGUGAGAGCUUCGGCGCAUCAUCGACCGAUCCUGAUGUUAUCGGAUGGAUUUGAGUAAGAGCAUACGGGGCCGGACCCGAAAGAAGGUGAACUAUGCCUGUGUAGGGUGAAGCCAGAGGAAACUCUGGUGGAGGCUCGCAGCGGUUCUGACGUGCAAAUCGAUCGUCAAACAUGGGCAUGGGGGCGAAAGAC
rnacentral:rRNA from 1 species